UUGUGUGUUAAGAUGUGAUUUCCACAUUGCCACAUGUAAAAAUUACGUUUUCAAAUUUAAAAAUGUAAAAAUCGGUAGAUGAUUUCCUGGUGCAUCUCUAAUAGAAAUGUUAGUUUUUUUUCUCCUAGAAUAUCUAAGAACAGCCAGAAGCUGUUUUAGCUUCAGAUUCACAUUUCUACAUAUAGUGGAACUCACCCACAAUUAAGAUUUUUUUUUUUUUUUUUUCUUUUUUUCUUUUUACAAUUCAUGUAACUGUGUUAUUUCUCUACAAAAAAAUAAUAUGGAAAUGAAUUUUCUAUUUAUUUAAAAUUGAAUGUCCUUAAAAAUGAAUGAAGAUGAAGGUAUAGUUGGUCAUGAUGAAAAAAAAUGAAUGAACGCCAAUAUAUAUUUUUAUGUAUAUAUCAAACUGUAAUAACACAGUGCCACUUUUCAAUAUUUGCUUAUUACUUAAAAUCCUUUUAGACGAUUUAACAGAAUGUUUUUGAUUUGCUUCAAUUUUCAUUGUGAAAACCUGCCCAACUUUUCAUCUGAUGAAACCGCUAAAUCGCAGCAGCACUAAGUUUUAAGCACUUCAGAAAAUUUGCACAAAAUUAGCUCACAUUUCAGCUAUGGAAUAACACGUUUUAGCUGAUAGGUUUGCCGUUAUAUUUAGCAAUUUUGAGUAAGCAGGCGCCUGAUGUUUUCCUGUGGGCUUGAUGUCAUAUGUGUGUUGAUUCUGACCUAAUAUCUGAAUUGAAGUAUUGCACUGCAUAAACUGAAAUUGAAGGCAAACCUGUCCGUUAAGUGGUAUUUUGGUAUCAUUCCAUUCGUCAAAGUUUGGGGGAGCGCACACAUGAAUUUUUUUUCUGUAUGUACAGUUUAUAUGUGUGAUCGGAAUGGGUUAAGCUCACUAAAUCACAGAAUUUCUUCAUUCUAAUGUAUGUCGCCAAUGGUGGAGGUGGAGCUAAUGUCUGUUUAAAUGAAGCAUAUGGUAGAUCUGUCCAAACAUGACAAAAAAAAAAAAAAUUUAAAACAAAUUGCGGAUGACAGAAGUUGUCCUGUAUGUGACAGUAUGCUGUGCAUUGAGUAAUUAUAAUAAAAAUAGAUCAUGUUUUCUUGACAAAAGACUGUUCAAGUGUCAAGGCUAUUGUUUGGGGGAUUGGGUGGC
ensembl:lncRNA